UCUCUCAUCUUCUCUCCGUCGCGCAUCUCCUCCCCGUCGCUCCCUCCCUCGCGAUGUCUGCCGCGAACGGACCUCUCCUCGCCCCGCCAGCCUACUCCUCCCUCGGCUCCCGCCACCUCCGCCGCCCGCCGCCACCGCCUCAGACCCGAAAUGCGCUCGCGCGCUCCUCGCCGCCCACCGACGCCGGCCCACCGGAUGUCCGGCCCCGCCCGGCUCCGGCGGCUCCCGCCGCCUCCGCUCCGCCGCCCGGCGACCGCCACCGCCGCCGUUGCCGGCCGCCGCCCCCCGGACCCCUCCCUCUAGGUCCGGAGGGCAGUGGAUCCGGCGAGGCGAGGCGGCCCCAGCAACCCCGACCCCAAAGCCCCGUCCUCGCCGCCGGCCGCGUCGCCGCCCGCCAAAGAUGGAGAGGGAGGAACACGUGGCGCGCGCGGAUUGAGCCCCAAAAUCGAGUGAUGAAAGAUCAACAGCCAUCGGAGGCGGGCGAGGCCGCUACACCCGGGCGGCGAGGAAGACCAGAGGCCAGAGCAGAGGCGACCGGACGACGGAGUUCGGGCCACGGAGCCAGCCACGGGCGGCGCACCUUUACACGGGCGGAGCCGGCCGGCGGAGUUGGAGAGGCGGAGUGACCGGAGAAGCCGGUCGUGGAGCCGGAGUCCUGGCGUCCGCCAUGGAGCCGCACUGCCGUAGACAUGGCGACGAGCGGCCGCAGAGCUGGAGCCUGGAGGCCAUGGCGACCGGCGCAUCUCAGGCGGAUGGGGAUUGCGGCGAGCGAGCGAGCGAACCGUGGUGGGCCUCGACGCCUCGUGGGGGCUGGGCAGCCCAAUCAAUGGAUAGAUGUGCAGGAGAGUUAGGAAGGAUGGAUCUUGCUGGGCUCUAUGGGCCAGGUUCUUUUCAAGGGAACUCACUGGCUUCGGCUAUGGGCCAAGUUGCAGCGAAGUGAAGAGCGAACUCAAAUGAUUGUUGAAGGCUGUCGAAGAAUUGAGACGGUGGCUUUACAAGUGUUCCGCGUCUUUUGGCUGGCCAUAUACGGCUAUAGGAUUUCCUUUUGAAUAAUUUGGACUCUGUAAUGGUCGUUAACUUUGUUUGGUGUGGUUUGUAACAGUCCUGGUCUGAUUCUCUCUUUGGAGAGUUGAAGCCGGAAACUAAGUUUCCAUUAUCUAAAAAAAAACAUGACACA